rnacentral:tRNA from 1 species
GAGAGUGUAGCUCACUGGUGGAGCGCGUGCUUAGCAUGCACGAGGUCCUGGGUUUCAUCCCCAGCACCUCCA